GGUCUGGCAGCUUUGCGGGCGCACCACCGCGUUCGCGUGCGUCAGAAAGAGAGAAAGAAAACGAGAGCGAGAGAGAGAGGGAGAGACUGGAGAGAGAGGGAGAGAGAAAGGUACCGACAGAAGCGGAAGGGAGAUCGACGUAUAUCCGCCGACCAAUACCGACGCAAAGGGAGGAGGACGAGAGAGGAGAGUCAAGCCGAGUCGCGUUGGGCUAGGUCAGGUCUACCCGAGUUCCACACACACCGCGCUCUCUCUCUCUGCGUGUGUCAUCCCGCCGAGGAGAACUACGCGAAGGCGGAGGCGCAACCCCUACGCGAAAAAGAGGGUCGCGAGUUUCCCCGAGUCUCGCGAAGUGCGGCUUCACCCGAAAAACUCGAUCGUCCCGAUUUUUCGGAAUCGGCCGGAAUCCUGCUCGAACUCGAAUCGAAACGCUGAUCGGUGGCCGAGGAGUGCGAAUUGUUCGCGAAAGCCGGCAACAGUGCGCGCGUUGUCGGACGACGCUUCGUUAAGGGGUGACACGAGGGAGAGAUGCCUCUCUCGAUCGGCAUUGUGAAUAAUUACGAGUGUAGCUAAUAUACGUAACACGCGAGUGUGUCUCCGGGAUCAAUCCUAUAUGUUCGAUCCCUGUAUCGAAAAGGGUGGGAAAUAAGGGAAGACUUAAAGCGGGGUGAGAAUUAAACAUUGUUGACAAACAACAAGUUUACAAUAAUCCGAUCGGCCGAAUCGAUCGCGCUUUUUCCCGAUGUCCUGAUAAUCGAUAAGCGUCGUCGCCGCGCGUAGGUGUAUAGGGACCGCCUAGUCAGCGAAAGUCGGGACAGCGAUCGGCCUUAUCGACGUAAUCAUUUCUCGCCCUCGCCCUCUCAAUCGUGCGAUCCUCAGUGCGAUCGGGCAGGAUAAAUGUUGAGGGUAAACGGCGGCCUGCGUCGCCCGCCAGCGCGAGGCAACCGAGUGGACCGAGUCUUGAUUGUGACCGGCGAGAUGCCGGUCUCUCUGAGGAACCACAGAAUAACAUAAAGGGCGGCCCGGCGAUGGUUUAGAGCCUUUUGCAGCGCGCACGCACGGUCGCGCAACGGCGAAAGGAUCGCGACGGAAUAUCGCUGGUGAACUUAGAGGAAUAACGUUUGCCAUCGUGGAUAUUGUCCAAUAUACGCCCGAUGCUCUGAAUCGAAGCUGCGAAAAUCCGGAGAUCGAGAGAUAUCACGCGCGAAGGAUGGAGGCCAGCGAGUGGGAUCAUGCGACCUUGAGGGAGGAAGAAUUCGAGCAACAUGCCGUAUAUUUGGUACCGGAUGUGGCGACAUCGUCGGGUGAUACCAAUCGUGCGGAAGCAUCUUUGCCGCGGAAUCUGGUCCUCAAGCCCUCUCAAGCUCUCAACGAUGUGCUGGGCGUAUGGAGCACCAGUUAUAUCCCUAAAGGGACACGUUUCGGCCCUUUGGUCGGUCAGGUGUAUACGAAGGAUUCGGUACCAGCAGACGCGAACCGAAAAUACUUCUGGCGGGUGUACAAGAACAACGAGCUGUUCUACUACAUCGAUGGUUAUGAUGUCCAAAAAUCGAAUUGGAUGCGUUACGUGAAUCCCGCCUAUUCGUCCGAAUCGCAAAACCUAAUAGCAUGCCAGUAUAAGAUGAACAUUUAUUUUUACACAAUUAAGCCGAUAUUACCAAAUCAAGAAUUAUUGGUUUGGUACUGCAGGGAAUUCGCGGAAAGGCUCAAUUAUCCGUUCACUGGCGAGUUAAUGCUUCAGAGAAUACGACAACAAGUACAACAAUCGACGCUACCAACGGAAAUCUCACCUACUGUCGAUGUAAUGCCCUUGAAAGACUCAUCGAUUUACGAAAGGCGUCAAAUGACGCCAACGGAUGGUUCCGUGAGAUCAGAUGAGGGUUACCAUUCAAACGGCUACCACGACGAAAUUCUGACGCCACCCGAGGAGAGCAGCGAAUCCGAUAGUGAGAACAAUUAUGUACUGGACUUUAGUAAAUCGUCGGUAUGCGGCAAUGAAAUUUUGAAGCAAGAUAAUACCGCAGCGAAGAACGAAUACAGGAAAGUCAAGAUCAAGAUCUCCAAGACCUAUGGCAAUUUCCAGACAACAAAAAGUAUAACUGACAGCCCGACGAAGGAGAAGGAUCAGGAACUGAGCUCCAAUAGAGCAGUUACUCCGGAACUUCAGAAACCGGUAUCGCCCAUCAUCCUACAGAAGAGUACGGUAUUAUCAACUGUAAACGAGGAUGAGAUAUCCGAGAAGAAUCCGAAAGCUUUCUACGAACCGGAAGUCAAGAAUGGCAACUUACCCAUGUCUGGCAGAUCCGCCUACUUGGUCAACCCACCCAGCAGUUCUAUCUUGGAGAAUAUUCUACUGCGCAACAAUACGGAUAACAACAACAAUAACAGUCACAGUCAUCACCACAAUAACGGCACGCAGCAACACCAUCAGCACCAUCAGAUGCAUCAUCAGACUCAUGUCGACUCGGUGACGCCGCCACCCUCCAGCCCCACCGAAAUGGCGUAUUCCUACAAAAAGUCUCAUCGUUACGGCAACAUUCUGCCCUGUAGUCCAGACUCCAGCUCGAACCUGCCUCUACAAACGGACGCGUGCGUAAACUCAACCAGCGGUAACGGAGGUGCGUUGCCCAGCAUGCAGAGUCCCACCGGCAACAUGCACUCCAGCACGGGAGGACCGCAUUCGAGCACCGGAGGGAACAACGGCAACCUGCCGAUGCAUCCCGGAAGCUUGCACUCGCCCAGCAACCUCGGCGGCAACAUUCAUUCCAGCACAAACGUACUCUCAUCUAACGCGAUGCUAACGUCCACCAGUAAUUUGCACCCAGCGUCCACAACGAUAAACGGUUGUCCGCCAAAACGAAAGACCAAAUCACCGUCACCGUCCUCGAGUCAGAACAGCGUUUCCACUCCGACGACGAUUCUUUACUCCGGCAACUCGGCCGGCACAGGCUCGGGAAAUUGCCAAAUUGAAUCCGCCAGUCCGAUCUAUCCGAAUUCCGCCGGCAGUAGUAGUAGCGGCAGCAGUAGCAAUCAGAGCGUCUCGCCGAUCUCGCCGAUCCAAUCGCCCUCGUCUUACGGUCCGUACGGGAGUUUGUACGGCCAUCAAAACGGCUCGCUGCAUCAUAACGUGGAGGCGCCGUUAUCCAUCAAUUGCACCGCCUAUUCGCCCACACCAAGCGGCAACGUUGGCGUCUACGAGAGGUCUACGGAUGGUAGACGGCUGGAGGCGGCCACCAGCAGCAAUAGCCACCAAUUACCCACCUCGUCGACCAUGCAAAUUGACAGUAACCAAGCAUUGAUUGCAGGAACGCACAAUCUCCACUUGGGUCAUCAUCCGAGUCUCACUAUUCACCCUAACUCCUCGUCGUUCCUAAAUAGAUAUUCGCCGGCGAGUUCAUUAUCGCCGGACGAUCACGGUUGUUCCCAGAGCGGCUCGCUCAGCCCUAAUUCUCAAGGUUCGAGGGGAUACAGAUCGCUGCCUUACCCGCUCAAGAAGAAGGAUGGCAAGAUGCACUACGAAUGCAACGUCUGCUGCAAGACCUUCGGUCAGCUGUCGAACCUCAAGGUGCACCUCAGAACACAUUCCGGCGAGAGGCCCUUCAAGUGUAACGUCUGCACCAAGAGUUUCACGCAACUCGCACAUCUCCAGAAACAUCAUCUCGUGCAUACUGGUGAAAAACCGCAUCAAUGCGAGAUAUGCAAGAAGAGAUUCAGCUCGACCUCGAACCUGAAGACCCACCUAAGACUACACUCUGGCCAAAAGCCAUAUGCCUGCGAUCUUUGUCCCGCCAAGUUUACCCAGUUUGUCCAUUUAAAAUUGCACAAGAGGCUGCACACGAACGAACGCCCCUACACCUGUCAGGGUUGCGACAAAAAGUACAUUAGCGCGAGCGGCCUCAGGACUCAUUGGAAGACAACAAGUUGCAGACCCAACAACAUCGAGGACGAACUCGCACUUGCCGCUGCCGUAGGUUCACCGACGUAUUACGAAUAUGGUCCCGACAUGAAUGUUGGAAAUAUGCCCAAGGAAUGCGAACUGGAGCACAUCGAUAAUUACGAUAGGCAUGGCUCAGCGCAUAAUCCGCACUCCACGUCUCUCCAUAAUUUGGAAAACUCCGUGGGUCGGCCAAGCGUAAUAGAAACGUCCCAGCCGCAUAUUAUCGAAUGUACAUAAGUCGCAUGGUGGGGUAUCAACCCCUCUCUCGCUCCGGCAUAAAUGUAACCGUGGAAAUGUAAGCGAGUUGCUCGCAAUCGACCAGAAGAACUGGAAAAGAGAGCUCUUCUUCUCUGGAAUGGCAGCAAGAGUGCAAAGAGUAAGAGUGCUUCUCAAAAAACAUGGAUAUGGACGUGACUUGGAUAACCAAGGAUUAUAACCACAGGAGUGGAACACCAGGGCAAUUGGUUUCCAAGUUUUUAUUGUAAAUUGAUCUACAAUCACCAUAUCCGAUUCAUCGCUGCAUACAUCAUUAUUAUAAAUAAUAAAAUGCCAUAGCAACGCUA